AACGAACGCUGGCGGCAUGCCCAACACAUGCAAGUCGAACGAGAUCUUCGGGUCUAGUGGCGCACGGGUGCGUAACGCGUGGGAAUCUGCCCUUUGGUUCGGAAUAACAGUUGGAAACGACUGCUAAUACCGGAUGAUGACGAAAGUCCAAAGAUUUAUCGCCAGAGGAUGAGCCCGCGUAGGAUUAGCUAGUUGGUGUGGUAAAGGCGCACCGAGGCGACGAUCCUUAGCUGGUCUGGGAGGAUGAUCAGCCACACUGGGACUGAGACACGGCCCAGACUCCUACGGGAGGCAGCAGUGGGGAAUAUUGGACAAUGGGCGAAAGCCUGAUCCAGCAAUGCCGCGUGAGUGAUGAAGGCCUUAGGGUUGUAAAGCUCUUUUACCCGGGAUGAUAAUGACAGUACCGGGAGAAUAAGCUCCGGCUAACUCCGUGCCAGCCGCCGCCGUAA
rnacentral:rRNA from 1 species